AUUGAACGCUGGCGGAAUGCCUAACACAUGCAAGUCGAACGAGUGGCGGACGGGUGAGUAAUGUCUGGGAAACUGCCUGAUGGAGGGGGAUAACUACUGGAAACGGUAGCUAAUACCGCAUACCAUCGGAUGUGCCCAGAUGGGAUUAGCUAGUAGGUGGGGUAAAGGCUCACCUAGGCGACGAUCCAUAGCUGGUCUGAGAGGAUGACCAGCCACACUGGAACUGAGACACGGUCCAGAAUCCUACGGGAGGCAGCAGUGGGGAAUAUUGCACAAGGGGCGCAAGCCUGAGGCAGCCAUGCCGCGUGUAUGAAGAAGGCCUUCGGGUUGUAAAGUACUUUCAGCGGGGAGGCGUGACCCGCAGAAGAAGCACCGGCUAACUCCGUGCUAGUAGCCGCGGUAAUUC
rnacentral:rRNA from 1 species